UGCAGUCGAACGAGUUCUCGUUGAUGAUCGGUGCUUGCACCGAGAUUCAACAUGGAACGAGUGGCGGACGGGUGAGUAACACGUGGGUAACCUGCCCUUAAGUGGGGGAUAACAUUUGGAAACAGAUGCUAAUACCGCAUAGAUCCAAGAACCGCAUGGUUCUUGGCUGAAAGAUGGCGUAAGCUAUCGCUUUUGGAUGGACCCGCGGCGUAUUAGCUAGUUGGUGAGGUAAUGGCUCACCAAGGCGAUGAUACGUAGCCGAACUGAGAGGUUGAUCGGCCACAUUGGGACUGAGACACGGCCCAAACUCCUACGGGAGGCAGCAGUAGGGAAUCUUCCACAAUGGACGCAAGUCUGAUGGAGCAACGCCGCGUGAGUGAAGAAGGCUUUCGGGUCGUAAAACUCUGUUGUUGGAGAAGAAUGGUCGGCAGAGUAACUGUUGUCGGCGUGACGGUAUCCAACCAGAAAGCCACGGCUAACUACGUGCCAGCAGCCGCGGUAAUACGUAGGUGGCAAGCGUUAUCCGGAUUUAUUGGGCGUAAAGCGAGCGCAGGCGGUUUUUUAAGUCUGAUGUGAAAGCCCUCGGCUUAACCGAGGAAGCGCAUCGGAAACUGGGAAACUUGAGUGCAGAAGAGGACAGUGGAACUCCAUGUGUAGCGGUGAAAUGCGUAGAUAUAUGGAAGAACACCAGUGGCGAAGGCGGCUGUCUGGUCUGUAACUGACGCUGAGGCUCGAAAGCAUGGGUAGCGAACAGGAUUAGAUACCCUGGUAGUCCAUGCCGUAAACGAUGAAUGCUAGGUGUUUGGAAGGUUUCCGCCCUUCAGUGCCGCAGCUAACGCAUUAAGCAUUCCGCCCGGGGAGUACGACCG
rnacentral:rRNA from 1 species